AUUGAACGCUGGCGGCAGGCCUAACACAUGCAAGUCGAACGAGUGGCGGACGGGUGAGUAAUGUCUGGGAAACUGCCUGAUGGAGGGGGAUAACUACUGGAAACGGUAGCUAAUACCGCAUACUAUCGGAGGUGCCCAGAUGGGAUUAGCUAGUAGGUGGGGUAACGGCUCACCUAGGAGACGAUCCCUAGCUGGUCUGAGAGGAUGACCAGCCACACUGGAACGGAAACACUGUCCAGAAUCCUACGGGAGGCAGCAGUGGGGAAUAUUGCACAAGGGGCGCAAGCCUGAUGCAGCCAUGCCGCGUGUGUGAAGAAGGCCUUCGGGUUGUAAAGCACUUUCAGCUGGGAGGCGUUACCCGCAGAAGAAGCACCGGCUAACUCCGUGCCAGCAGCCGCGGUAAUAC
rnacentral:rRNA from 1 species